GCCUACCAUGGUGGUAACGGGUAACGGGGUGUUAGGGCACGACACCGGAGAGGGAGCCUGAGAAACGGCUACCACAUCCAAGGAGGCAGCAGGCGCGCAAAUUACCCAAUCCCGACACGGGGAGGUAGUGUCAAUAAAUAACAAUACAGGGCUCUUAUGGGUCUUGUAAUUGGAAUGAGUACAAUUUAAAUCCCUUAACGAGGAACAAUUGGAGGGCAAGUCUGGUGCCAGCAGCCGCGGUAAUUCCAGCUCCAAUAGCGUAUAUUAAAGUUGUUGCAGUUAAAAAGCUCGUAGUUGAACUUCGGGGUCUACCCAUUGGUCAGGCUUAAUUGUCUGCACUGGUGAGAUGGAUCUCUACCUUCUGAGGAACUUUCAUGCCAUUUAUUUGGUGUGAUGGGAAAUCAGGACUGUUACUUUGAAAAAAUUAGAGUGUUUAAAGCAGACUAUCGUCUGAAUACAUUAGCAUGGAAUAAUGAAAUAGGACGGACUGAUUCUAUUUCGUUGGUUUCUAGGAUCACCGUAAUGAUUAAUAGGGAUAGUUGGGGGCAUUAGUAUUCAAUUGUCAGAGGUGAAAUUCUUGGAUUUAUUGAAGACUAGCUACUGCGAAAGCAUUUGCCAAGGAUGUUUUCAUUAAUCAAGAACGAAAGUUAGGGGAUCGAAGACGAUCAGAUACCGUCGUAGUCUUAACCAUAAACUAUGCCGACUAGGGAUCGGACGAAGUUAUUUUUAUAAUGACGCGUUCGGCACCUUACG
rnacentral:rRNA from 1 species